UUUGUACUCCCUCCGUCCCAUAUUAAGCCACUCAAAUUUGCCCAAAUAUGGAUGUAUCUAUACCUAAAAUGCGUCUAGAUACAUGUAAUAUUUUGGCACUUAAUAUGGGACGGAGGGAGUAUAUG
rfam:Brachypodium distachyon strain Bd21 chromosome 2, whole genome shotgun sequence.